rnacentral:lncRNA from 1 species
UUCACUUCAUUUAGAAAAUGAUUUUGACAUCUUUUAGCAACGAUCAAUGUUGACAUAAAUGGUUCACUAUAAAUGGAGCACAAAAACAUCACCCUCUACUUGGCAUUUUCGUUAAGGACAAUGCCUUAAUAUUGGUCUACGAUUAUUUCCCCAAAGGCAGCUUAGAGGAAAAUCUAUAUGGGAAAAGAACGAGAAUGAACCCAUCCUAUCAUGGGAAGUGAGAUUCAAUGUAGCUGUUGGGAUUGCUGAAGCACUAGAUUAUCUGCACAAGCAAACUUUGAAGAAUGUUAUACAUAGAGAUGUCAAGCUUUCAAACAUUCUUCUUUCCCAUGGGUUUGAACCACAAUUAUAUGAUUUUGGACUUAUAAUAUGGGACCAAUAGCUUCACCCUUUCUGACACAAGAAGACGUUGUAGGAACAUUUGGUUAUCUUGCUCCUGAAUACUUCAUCUAUGGAAAGUUCAGAACCUUGCAAAGGAGAGGAGAGCUUGGUGUUGUGGAUUAUGUACAAGAGAAGGAGCAUGUUGUCAAUGUGAUAGAGAAUGCUAAUGAAGACUGUCCCGAUAGCUUAUCCAAAAAGGAGCUCAAUAUGCAUCACCUGUUUUCACCAUGACUUUCUGGGACCAAACCUGUCAAAUUGGCCAACAAUGUGAUCAAGGAACAGACCCAAAUGCCUAAGAGAAAUAAAUUUAAGGAAAAGUAGAACCAAUCUAGAUGCUGAUAUGGAAAAUACAUCACCUCAACAUUUUGGUGGUGUCCCAAAAAUUGAGAAUGUGCAUAAAAUACAAGAGGUAGUAAACACAAGCUACAAUCUUUCUAAAGAACAAUCAAUUUUCAAAGAGCAACUACAUCUGCUAGAAACAGAUAAUGCAGGAGACAAUAAGCCAUAAAUACGUACUAACUCAAACAAAUACAACAAUAACAAAGUGCACCACAUUCUUCACAUUAUUUGAAUAAUCGAAGCUAAGGUAAGACUGUUACAUUGUUAGAGCAAUAAGAUCAAUCAGCUAGGAGUUACAGAUGAAGAUGACACCGAACAGGUGCAAAAGGUUAUAUUUUCAGUUACACAAUAGUGAUGGGCACAUUAAGCAGAGGAAAGAAUGCUAAAAUAAUUAAAAACACUUAGAAUUAGCAAGCAGAGCACUUAUGGGGUUAGUCUAUAGAGAACCAGCCGUUGAUUAUAAAGUGGAAUCUGAUAGAAACAGAAAAAUUACAACAGUACAACAACAGAAAAUAUUGUAUAUAUGCAGUAUAUCAAAGUAAGGUGUGAUGAAGUGUAUGUUAUUGAAUGAAAGAUUAGCACAGAGUCUAGGCUCCUAUACCAGAGGAUAUUUCCUCCUAUUUCUCUUUUACAAUGUUCAUUCUUUGAUAUCUCCUCUUCCUUGCCUCACUACUUAAAUACCCCUCUAACAUAAUCACAUGGGUACAUUUGCCACAUCACUAACUAACUUCUUUCUCUCUCCCUCUAGCCCCAUUUUGUUUCUUCUAGAAUAAACCUUCCAUACAAUACACUUUUCCUUACUAAUGCCAACUACAAUAUUACUAAUACGUCCCUUAGUCAUGUUUAGGUUUCUAUCAUUGCCCUCCCGUGCAGCCACAGCCUUAUCCUCAAGGCUGAAAUUAGGGAAUUGACUCUUCAAAAGUCUUCAUUCACCCAUGUCGUGUCCUCCGUGGCCCGUCCCUUCCACUUGAUCAACCAUUGCUUCACCAACAAAUCGCCUUCCUGAAUGUCCCUUGCAGCCAAGAGUGCUUCUGGUUCCUUCUUAUCCUCCACAUCAAUCUCUAAACUAGCAGGCAGUUCUGACUCUCGCAGUAUAGUUUCCAAUUGCUUUCUUCAAUUGAGAAAUAUGGAACACACGAAGGGAAUUUUUGUCGAUUCAGGCAGCUUUAUUUUGUACGACACUGCACCUAUUUUUGCUAGUAUCGGGUAAGGCCCAAAAUACCUCGGAGCUAACUUUUGAUUGAUCCUUCUUGCUACUGUUUGUUGCCUAUUACGUCUCAAUUUUAAGAACACCCAUUCCCCCACUUCAAAAGACACAUCUCUUCUCUUUCGAUCAGCAUAUUUCUUCAUUUGUUGUUAUGCUUGGAGUAAAUGAUGUUUCAAUUGCCGCAACGCCUCAUCCCUAUCUAUCAAUUCAGCAGUCAUUGCCUCUACCCUUGUCUCACCUUAUGAAAAGCGAAUUAGAGCAGGAGGUUUUCGUCUGUACACCAUCUCAAAAGGCGUUGCUCUGAUGGACACAUGGUAAGAAGAAUUAUACUACAAUUCAGCCAAAGACACCCAAUAUGACCAAUUCUUGGGCUGUUCGGAUGCAAAACAACGCAAAUAGGACUCAAGACAUCAAUUAACCACCUCUACUUGACCGUCCAUUUCAGGAUGAUAAGAGGAACUCAUCUUCAAUAUUGUCCCUUGUAAUCUAAAUAACGCUUUCUAGAAUAAGCUAAUGAACAAAGGGUCUCGGUCACUUACAAUGGAUUGAGGCACCCCCCCAUGCAAAAGAACUAUCUCCUUAGUGAACACCUCUAUUAUUUUCCUGGCAGUGUAGGGGUGUCUUAAGAGAAUGAAAUGCCCAAACUUUGACAAUCUAUCCACUACUACAAAAACAGCUUCAAACCCUUUCGACUUAGGGAGACCUGCGAUGAAAUCAAGUGAAAUAUCUUUCCAAAUUUGAUGCGGGAUAGGGAGUGGUUGCAAUAAACCUGUUGGUGAUGCUGUAGAAUAUUUUUGUCGCUGACACACUCACAACUUCUCACAAAAUUCUGCACAGGUUUUUUCAUCCCUACCCAAUAUAAAUUUCUAGCCAUUCUCUGAUAUGUCCUGAAGAAUCCUAAAUGACCCCCUAAUGGAGAGGAGUGAAAUUCUUGCAACAACAAGGGUAUCCAAGUAGAAUUUGAAGCUAGAACCAACCUGUUUUUGUAGAACAGUAUCCCUUGCUGCAAACUGAAAUUGGGAUGUGUACUUGGGUUAACUGACACCUCCUCAACGAUCUUAUUCAACUCAUUAUCCUUCCUCACUUCAUAUUACACCUCCUGCACCUUCAACCAUACUAGAAAAGAAGUGAUGCUUUUCAACUCACCUUCAUCAAACAUCCUUGACAAGGAAUCUGCCGCCUUAUUUUCAGGACCAGGUUUAUACACAACCUCAAAAUGAUAGCCUAAAAGCUUGGCCAUCCAAUUUUGUUGAUCCGCUGUGGUUAUCCAUUGUUGCAGCAAGUGCUUCAAACUCUUUUGAUGAGAAUAACUAACAAAUUGCCUCCCCAACAUAUACGACCUCCAGUGUUGCACCGCCAAUACAAGUGCCAUCAAUUCUUUUUCAUAUGUUGAUUUAGCCAAAUUAUUUUUUGACAACGCCUUGCUAAAAAAAGCAAUUGGUCUCUUCCUUUGCAUCAAAACAACCCCUACUCCUCUUCCCGAUGCGUCACACUCGAUCUCAAAUGGUUGAGUAAAAUCCGGAAUAACCAAUAUUGGUGAAGUAGUCAUCACCCUUUUUAAUUCUUCAAAUGCUUGCAAAGCCUCCUCUCCCCACUUGAAUCAUUCCUUCUUUGUGAGUUCAGUCAAAGGUUUUGCUAUUUUCCCAUAACCUUUGACAAAAUUUCUAUAGUAUCUUGUCAAUCCCAAAAAGCCUCUAACUCCCUUCACGUUUCGGGGAAUUGGCCAGUCCACUACACUCCUUACCUUGGCGGGGUCUACUGCUACUCCAUCUUCUGAAAUGACAUGGCCUAGAUAUUCAACCUGCUUGCUGCCAAAAGCACAUUUCUUCCCAUUAGCCACAAAUCCCUUGUCUUGUAACACUGCAAGGACUUGUCUCAAAUGUUGUACAUGUUCAUUCGACUCCUUACUAUAAAUCAAUAUGUCAUCAAAAAAUACUAAGACAAAUCUUCUUAAAAAUGGUUUGAACAUUUGAUUCAUUGUUGCUUGGAAUGUGGCCGGUGCAUUAAUUAAUCCAAAUGGCAUUACCAAAAAUUCAUAGUGACCCUCGUGCGUUCAGAAAGUAGUUUUGUGCACAUCCUCCUCAUUCACCCUUAUCUGAUGGUAAUCAGACUUCAAAUCAAUGUUAGAGAAAUACUCAGCGCCAUAUAAUUCAUCCAACAACUCCUCCAUCACCGGUAUCGGGUACUUAUCCGGAAUGGUAACCUUGUUGAGUUCUCUAUAAUCGACACACAUCCUCCAUGUACCAUCCUUUUUUCUACUAAAAUAAUCGGGCUAAAAAAAGGGCUAGAGCUAUGUCUAAUGAUACCAUGUUGCAACAUAGUCUGUACUUGCCUCUCUAUUUCAUCUUUCUGGUGAAACGCGUACCUAUAUGGUCUCACACUAAUUGGGGACGCUUCCUUCUGCAACUCAACCGAAUCAACAAUGUCUCUUUUAGGUGGUAAACCCUCCAGUUCUUUGAAAACCGUUGGGAACUGAAUCAACACUUGGUCUAGCUCUUCUUGCUCUUUAGUAUUUAAUUCAUUUUGUAUGAUAACAUCAAAUUCCAACUCUCCAUCUCCCAACAAACUAUGUAAUGAAGAAUUUGAAGAAUAUGACAAAGAUUUAAUCCCCUGUAAUUCUACUACUUCCCCCUUCCAAGGAAAACUCAACACCAUAUUCUUCCAAUCAAAUGUUACUUUGUCGAAUGCCCUCAUCCAUAAUGCCCCCAAUAUUAAAUUCAGAUCUCCAAGCUCCAAUGCAAAUGCAUUAAUUUGAGUUGUAAAAUUGCCCAACAACAAUUCUAAUUUUUUGCACUUGCCCAUGGUAGUAACCAUAUGACCAUCUCCCAACUUCACCCCUAAUGUUGCCUUCUUCUCCACCACUAAACCUAACGUUGUUGCCACUCUUGGCUCAAUGAAACAAUGGCUUGCACAGCUGUCCACCCACACCUGGAUGUGGACCCCAUUCAAUUUUCCUUCCAAUUUCAUGGUAGCAGCUUGGUUCACUGCCUUCAUCAUUUCAUGCGAUUCAAAAUUUCCCAGAGCAUUGCAUUCAACUGACAACUCCUCUUCGUCCUCUUUAAUUUCUACAGCAAUAAUUCUCCCUCCUCAUUGACCCUUUCAUCAUCACCCAAGACUACCAAACGGAAUUACUUCUCUACACAUUGAUAUAAGGGGUGAAACCUCUCUCCACAUUGAAAGCAUAACCCCUUUGCCUUACGAUCCAUCAAAUCGGAAUACGGCAAGCGGCGAACACCCCUGUUGCGAUAAACUCCAGCGUCGUUCUAUCGUGUCUUGCCCAAACACGUCACCAUCGGGAUACUGGGUGCAGAUUGGUCCGUUCUAGCAAAAUUUGCAGGCCCAGACACACUACCUUUAUUUGGACUUGGGUUAAAAUUUGACCCAUAUCCGCUUCUUUGACCCGAGUUAUAAACUGACCCGAAUCUCCCUUUUCCACCUGACCCAUUCUCUACAUCCUUUGUCCACCUUCCAUUACACAUCAUCCCAUUGUCUCGAGGAUUUAAGAAUCCACACAAUUCUAUUUCUAUGUCGUGUGCCAUUUUCAUGGCUUGAAUACGAGUUCGUGGGUUGAGGGUACGAACCUUCAAGUGAAUUUUCGGUUUAAGACCCCCCAAGAAAUAACCCAAAUAUUGAUCCUCUUGAAGAUGAAUCACUUGAGAAGAGAUGUACUCGAACUCAGUGAUGUAUUCUUCCACAUCCCCUACUUGCUGCAAAUCUUUCAAAUCUUCAAACAGAUUAUCACUUUUUCGUCCAUUGUAUCUCUCAAUCAACGUCGCCUUUAAUUUCAACCAAGUAAGGUCAUCCUCUGUUUCCCUCCACAUAUAGAACCAAUGUAUGGUCGCACCUUCCGUACACACUUUCGCCAAUCAUACCUUCACUUCUUCUAACGAUCCUUGUACCUCAAAGUAAGUUUCUACCCUUGUGACCCAGCCCAUUGGGCUGUCACCAUCAACCUGUGGGAGUUCUACCUUCUUCACUGCCAUCUUGAACUCAGAACUUGCCUCUUCUAAUAUGAACGAUGUGACUUCAGGGGUGAAACAAUCUCGCAACUUCGCCUAUUCCCCCAUCACCAUUCUCUGAAAUUCCUCCAUUUGGAGAUGUAAAGAUUCUUCCAACAUUGUGAACUUCCCUUCUAACGCGUCAACUCUAUCAGACAUCUUCAGUGGCAUGGACAACUCAAUGUGCCGCUAGCUCCUCCUUGUAUCCAACAGGUUGGACCAAUGAUAGAAACAGAAAAAGUUCAGUAGUACAACAUAAAAUAUUGUAUAUAUGCAGUAAAUCAGAGUAAGGUGUGAUAAAGUGUAUGUUAUUGAAUGAAAGAUUAGCACAAUGCAAUAAUAAAACUCCAGAGUCUAGGCUCCUACACCAGGGGAUAUUUCCUGAUAUUUCUCUUUUACAAUAUUCAUUCUUUGAUACCCCCUCUUCCUUGCCUCACUACUCAAAUACCCCUCUAACAGAAUCACAUGGGUACAUUUGUCAGGUCACUAACUAACUUCUUUCUCUCUCCCCCUGGCCCCAUUUUGUUUCUUUCAGAAUAAACCUUCCAUAUCAUAGGCUUUUCCUUACUAAUGCCAACUUCAAUAUUACUAAUAGGUCCCUUAGUAUUAGAAUCUCAACAGAUGCAAAACAAAUUUGGUAUUAUUUCGAUUACUAAAUGGCAAUAUUCAUUGGAAGCUUCAAUGCCUUGAAUCAUAAAAUCAACAAGUUCCAGACUUACAGUAUGUUACAUAUUCUUGGUAAGUCAGAAGGUUUUUUUUAAACCCAAAGAAGUGACCCAAGACUAGCUAUAAAAUGACACACAACAUACAUAUGAGAUAGAAAUCAUAUUACUCGAAGGGAGAAAAAUUAGAGACAAGAAGCAUACACACAAAAUAUACAUAUACACAUAAUAUAAUAUGAUAUGGAUCUUUUCAUUGAGGCAUUUAUUUGUAUAUUUUCCAUUUUUUGUAAUAUUGUCAUUUUUAGAAAACUGUUUCAGUUAAACAGUUAGGGAAAUCUAUAAAUAGGAAUAAAACUAUUUUUCAAAAAACAGUUCACUUUUGUAGCAGAAACAAUCUUCUUCUUCUUGUAAUCUUCUUCUCUAAAUCUCAAAUAAUACUUCGGAACUCUCUCUCGUUGAAGGAGGUUCUCGGUUUCUUAGUAAUUUCUUUGAAUUCUCUGUAAAUUCUUAGAAAUCUAUCUUCAUCCUUAUCAAUUGGUAUCAGAUUAAGCCUUUCCUUGGCACAACACACACUUCCAUGGCAAAAUCGACGAGGAGUCAAGCUUCCAUGCGCGAGGUUGAAGAACGCUUAGAGAGCAGAAUGUCAGCAAAGAUUGAGUCGAAAUGGAACUUGCGGGUUCAUUGCAAAAAUCUUUGAGUGAUCCCUUGAAAUUGACAAUGGAGGAAUCACUCAAAACCAAUAAUGAUGUUGUGGACGAUUUUGCACGAUCAAGAACAUCAAUUCCUGGAGAGAGACGCAACAAUUCCCACUACUCGUGUGGCACAAGAUUAUCAAGAAUCGAUUUUCCCCGUUUUAAUGGUGAUAACAUGAAACAGUGGGUUUAUCAAUGUGAAACCUACUUCUUGAUUGAUGACACACCCGAAGAAUUCAAGGUGAAGCUGGUAGUGGUGCAUUUCGAAGGUAGAGCUUUACAAUGGCACCAUGCCUUUGUAAAGACAUUGUGGUCAGUUCUUGGCCAAGUUGGGGUGAAUACGUGCAAAUUCUCACAGAACGUUUUGGAGAGGUCUGUGAUGACCCCAUGGUGGAGCUUAUGAACCUGAGACAGAAAAGCUCUAUGGUUGACUAUCACGAGGAGUUUGAUGCCAUUAUCAUACGGUUGGAGCUCUCUGAGGAAUACACACCGAGUUGCUUCUUAGGAGGGUUAAAACAAGAUGUUUAGAUGAUGGUGCGCAUGUUCCAACCACAAUCCAUCACGAAAGCUUUUGCCUUAGCAAAGCUAUAUGAAUCAGGACAUAAUCAACCUUUCUUGCUCAAAUUUCCACCCAAAGGGGGUAAAAAUGUGUCCAAUUCCAAACCCUUUUCAGCUAUUAAACCUCACUUGCAAGUUGACCAACAGGUAGAUCCACUCAAGCCUAAGCAUACAUCUACAAAGAGCUUAACUCUAGCCUAUACGAAUGAAAGACGAGCCAAAGACUUAUGUUAUUUUUGUGAUAUUUCUUAUACCCCUGAACAUAGCUUAACUCAUAAAAAGCUUUAAAUCCAUGUAUUGGAGAUUGAAGACAGUUGUGAGGAAGAGGAUACUGAUGGAGAGGUAACACUGCCAACCAAGGAGUAUGGAGAGCCACAUAUUUCUGUUAAUGUAUUCACAGGGAUGCCUAGUUUUAGAACAACGAGGAUAACGUGUCAUUACAAUAAAAAACCUCUCCAUAUCCUCAUUGACAGUGGGAGCACACACAAUUUUCUAGACAUCCAGAAAGCUAAGACAAUUGGUUGCCAGAUUUAGCAACUUGAACCUUUAAUGGUUACAGUGGCAGAUGGAAACAAGCUGCAAAUCUCAGUUGUGGUGAGGAAUUUUGCUUGGACUAUUCAACACACCACAUUUACUUCUGACAUGAUGCUUAUUCCUUUAGGGUGUUGUGAUGUGGUGUCGGGUAUUGAGUGGUUGGUAACCUUAGGGGAUAUUACUUGGAAUUUUGACAACUUAACUAUGGACUUUACAACACAAGGUAGGAGGCAUGUUCUUAGGGCAGCUUCCACAAAUGUUGUUAAGACCAUCAAGACGCAGAAGCUAAAGAAGGUUUUGACCCAAGGGGUGCAAUUAUCCAUGCUGCAAUUAUGUACUGAGGAUGGAGGAUUGCUACAUUCAUUGACUACUCAUGCAGAGUAGCCUCUGAUUCUUGCUGAAAUAGCCUACUUGCUUGGACAUUUUGAUGACAUAUUUGCAGAACCAGCUCAAUUACCUCCUAUGAGGGUGGGCCACAAUCAUCAAAUUCCCUUACUACAAGGCACUAACCUUGUCAACAAUAGGCCCUAUAGAUAUGCCAAGCACCAGAAGAAUAUUAUUGAGAAAAUGGUGCAAGAAAUGUUGGAUUCAAGCAUCAUUCAAAACAACAAUAGCCCCUAUGUUAGCCCUGUAGUCUUGGUGGGGAAAAAAGGGACUAUCAAGGACAGAUUUCCCAUUCCAUUGGUAGAGGACCUAAGGGAUGAAUUGCAUGGCUCAACUAUCUUCUCCAAGCUAGACCUGAGAUUUGGAUACCAUCAAGUGAGAAUAAAACCCUCUGAUAUUCACAAGACAACAUUCAGAACACGUGGAGGGAACUAUGAGUACUUGGUAAUGCCAUUUGGACUGACAAAUGCUCCAGCAACAUUCCAAGGACUUAUGAAUGUCAUUUUCAGUGAAUUUCUUAGGAAAUUUUUGUUGGUUUUUUUAUGAUAUGCUCAUCUAUAGUAAGUCAUUGCCAGAACAUGUGAAUCAUCUUGCAAGAGUCUUACAAUUGAUGCAGAAACAUGCCUUGUUUGCUAAGAAAUCGAAGUGCUACUUUGGUGUGGAAAAGGUUGAAUACUUAAGGCACUUUAUCUCUGCCUAGGGGGUGUCCACUGAUCCAUCCAAAAUGUAUGUUGUCAAGGAUUGGCCACUACCUCAAAUACUUAAACAACUGAAGGGUUUUCUUGGGUUAGCUGGCUAUUACAGAAGAUUUGUUAAAGGGUAUGGAGGGGUAGCUAAACCCUUAACAGAACUACUCAAGAAAGACAAAUUUUGUUGGACAGCUGAAGCAAAGAAUUCCUUUCUGCACCAGAAGCACUUAUUGGCCACUGCACUAGUUUUGGCUAUUCCUGAUUUCUCAAAAACUUUUGUGCUGGAAGUAGAUGCUUCAUGGGGUAGGGUUGGGGGUUGUGUUGAUGCAGGACCACCACCCUAUUGCAUAUGUUAGUAGGGCUCUCAAUCAACAACACCAAUCAACUUCUACUUAUGGAAAAGAACUCAUGGUAGUGGUAUUUGCUGUCCAAAAGUGACAACACUACUUGCUUAGUAGGCAUUUUAUAAUCAAAACUGAUCAUAUAAGUUUAAAGUACAUGCUGGAUCAGAAAUUGGCAACAUCCUUCCAACAGAAAUGGUUAAUCAAGCUAUUGGAGUUUGAUUUUGAAAUUGAGUACAAGCAGGGCAAGGAAAAUGUUGCAGCAGAUGCCUUAUCCAGAUUGGAUGGUUGUUAUGUUUUGUUGGUCCAUACAGUUGAUCCAAUUUUACUGGAUAAAAUAAUAGCUUCCUGGGACACAGAUGCAGGAUAGACCAACCCGAGAUCCUAGAUUCAACAACACCCAUCUUCUCACAAGCAUUAUAGUUAGGUCAAUGGUGAAGUUCGAAGGAAGGGAAAGCUGGUGAUUGGCAACAACCAGGAACUAAGGAAGGACAUCUUGCAAUGGCUACACACAAUAGCCACACUAGAGGUCAUUCAGGAAGGCAAGCCACAAUCAAACCAAUGGCCAAUCUGAAGUGGUAAAUAGAUGUUUGGAAACCUACUUGCGAUGUAUGUGCUCAGAUACACCACAUCAGUGACUUCGAUGGUUGGCUUUGGCAGAAUGGUGGUACAACUCUACCUUUCACACAUCAAUCCAGGCUACCCCUUAUGAGAUUAUCUAUGGUCAGCCACCACCUCAUUAUCUACCAUAUCUUCUUGGAAAUUCGAAGGUGGAAUUGGUGGAUCGCAGUUUAAUCAAACGAGAAGAAAUGCUAAGGGUGCUGAAAUUCCAUUUAAGGCGAGCUCAAGAUUGAAUGAAACAAAUUGCAGAUAAGAGCACGCCGGAUCGACAAUUCGUGGUGGGGAUAUGGUUUAUGUUAAACUACAUCCUUACAGACAGAUUUUUGUGGCUAAUAGGAGUAAUGCCAAGUUAGCUUCUAAAUGUUUUGGCCCUUAUCCAACUAUAGACAAUGUGGGCAUGGUGGCUUAUAAGGUGAGACUUCCCCCAACAUCAAAACUCCACCCUGUUUUCCAUGUUUCCCAACUUAAAAAGCACGUAGGAUCAGUCCCUAACUCGACCCAGAUUCCACUCUCUUUAGAUGCCUUGGCUAGUGGCAGAGAGCCAGAGUCAAUUAUAGAUCGAAUGACAAUGAAAAGGAAGGGUCAAGUUGUUACUAAGGUCCUCGUGAAGUGGAAGCAUCAAUUGGAGGAAGAUGCAACUUGAGAAUUCUAUUAUGACUUGGGGAACCAGUAUCCGUUUUUCCAUCCUUGAGGACAAGGAUUGGUUUUAGGGGGGAGUAUUGAUAUGGAUCUUUUCAUUAAGGCAUUUGUUUGUAUAUUUUUAGAAAAUUGUUUCAGUUAAACCGUUAGGGAAAUCUAUAAAUAGGAAUAAAACUGUUUUUCAAAAACAGUUCACUUUUGUAGCAUAAAUAAUCUUCUUCUUGUAAUCUUCUUCUCUAAAUCUCAAAUAAUACUUCAGAACUCUCUCUCGUUGAAGGAGGUUACCUGUUUCUUAGUCAUUUCUUCGAAUUCUCUAUAAAUUCCUAGAAAUCUAUCUUCACCCUUAUCACAAUACAAACAAAUAGAGUGUUGGUGCAGCAGAAGUGAUCGUUGCGCAACAUUGGCCACAAGCAACCAAAUAAAGGCAUAAAAUAAAUAGAAGAGAAGAAACAAGACAAUUUGUUAAUGAGGUUUAGCCAGUUGUGCUUACGUCCGCGGGAGCGCUGAGCGGCUACCAAGAUAUUAUUAAAGAAUAAGGAUUACAAACCCUAACAUACCUAUGAGCCCACCUGCCCAUGGGGUAUUUUUAUUUGGUGUUUAUAUCUGGUGCACAUUAUAACAAGAGACUUGAGUCAAAUAUAUAGCAUUAGUUACUCUACUCUAUUUCAAUACUAGACAAUGUGGGACUAACACAAUAACAUGUUUCAAGCAUCCUCAACAAUCUCCACCUUGAUUGAAAUAGACGAAUAUCUCGCUCCUUAGGAAAUCUAUAAAAGAAUCCCCACAUUAGCGAAUAUAUGACUCCAUCUUGUUCAAUGUCUAAUUCUCUUUAAUUGCUCCCCUACAGCAUAGACCUUCUGAGUAUCCUUGACGAUGUUACCAAGAGCCUAGCUCUCCAAUCUUGUAAUGCAGCUUCUCAUACCGCCAUCAAAUGGAACAUGCCGCCUAGCCACUUAUUGCUAGGAAGUCUUUCGAUAUAUUGGAACCUCUACAUAAAAGUUCACCAACAAUCAUCCUCUUCAAUACUCAGUCAAAUUGGACCUUGUAGCUUCCUUGUAAAGCCUCAACCGCUACCACCAUUGUCUACUCCGACAAUCCUAGUUCAAAAAAACUAUCAUAUUCUACCAUAAGGAGUAUACCCACAACACACAUUGCGUCAAUGCUAACUAAUGUACAUGUCACAUCCUUGUAUCCAAGUCAAUGCCCAUGUCACACCCCUACAUCUUUACCAAUGCUCGUGUUACAACUUGCGUCCAAGCCAAUACCCAUUUAACACCUUACAUCAAAGUCAGUCAGCGCCUCUGUGCUUUUGUGGAUCUGCUAACAAUUAAUAUUCUUCAUUAUGACGUCUCAGACACACCGUUAGGAUAUUUCACUUCUCAUCUCAAAUGAGAACAUUCUCUCAACAUCUAGAGAGAUAUUGUCUGCACUUGUCUCUAGGUCAAACUUAACAUAUGAGUCCCUAUCUCCACCUUGAUCCUAAUCCAGUAUAUGAAUUUCUGGGAUUCUAGAUCAACAUAUAUCGCCCCCCACAAUAGUUUCGCCAUAUUUUCUUCUCAUUUAACUCAUAUACUCUAUCCUUGCACAAUAACUUUGAUGCACCUUGUUUAGUCAUCACGCAUUCACCCUCUCUAACCAUUACCUAGCCUCUAGGUUAAGAGUCAUCUACCAAUUGGCUCUGAUACCAAAUGUUGGUGCAGUAGAAGCGAUCAUUGCACAGCGUUGGCCACAAGCAAUCAAAUAAAGGCAUAAAAUAAGUAGAAGAGAAGAAACAAGAGAAUUUGUUAACGUGGUUCAGCCAAUUGUACCUACGUCCCCCGGAGCGUUGAGCGGUACCAAGAUAUUAUUAGAUAAUAAGAAUUACAAACCCUAACACACCCAUUGGCCCACCUCCUCAUGGGGUGUUUCUACGUGGUGCUUACAUGUGAUGCACAUUAUAACAAGGGACUUGAGUCCAACAUAUAAUGUCUAUUCCAAUACCAAACAAUGUUAGACUAACACAAUAACAUAUUUCAAGUCUCCCCAACACAGACAAUAUACAACGAAGAAAGAAAAAAAAAGAUAUCGCAGAGAUAUAUAGAAACUGAACUCACAACACAGAGAUAUAUAGAAACUGAACUCACAACACAAAGAUAUAGAGGAAAUUAGCACCUAAAGAGUAAGGGCAGGAAUUCUAGCAGAGCACAUUUAGAGGUACGAACAAUCCUUUCAUUGUUUUAUCCUAAAUCUGAAGAUGAUGAGUAGGUGCAUCCAUAAACAUUUAGUUAGUUAAUGGGUUAAAAAGGGUCACAUACCGUUUUGACACAGACACCUUAGAGAGAAUUAUCUGCUAGGCUUAGUAGAAACCACCCCCACGACAGUCACAGGAUGUCUUUUACAAACUGGAUGCACCAUGUGCAAUAUCAUUGAGACCCGCUUGCCCGGGUCGAUCAGGCCAAACCCAAUUGCCACAUUCGACCUAUAGUUGUAACCUUCUUUCAUCCAUAACCACUGCGAGGGGGAACUACAAAAAAGGGAAUGGUUGAGAUAUUACAGAAAAAUAAAAGAACGAAGAAGAUGGCUACCGUUGUCGAUGCCUCCUUACUCUCGGGUCGUGAACUACCCAAUUUGAAAUUGGGAUGAUGGCUUUGAAGCCACCACAUCGUCAAAGACGUCUGGGGAGGUUGACAUUGCCUUCAUACUCUGUCAC